UACGUAGGGUGCAAGCGUUGUCCGGAAUUACUGGGCGUAAAGGGCGCGUAGGCGGAUAGUUUAGUCAGAGGUGAAAGCCCAGGGCUCAACCUUGGAACUGCCUUUGAUACUGGCUAUCUUGAGUUCGGGAGAGGUGAGUGGAAUGCCGAGUGUAGAGGUGAAAUUCGUAGAUAUUCGGCGGAACACCAGUGGCGAAGGCGACUCACUGGCCCGAUACUGACGCUGAGGCGCGAAAGCGUGGGGAGCAAACAGG
rnacentral:rRNA from 1 species